rnacentral:rRNA from 1 species
GAUGAACGCUAGCGGCAGGCCUAAUACAUGCAAGUCGAACGGUGUAGCAAUACACAGUGGCGCACGGGUGCGUAACACGUAUGCAACCUACCUUACAUUGGGGGAUAGCCCUUCGAAAGGGAGAUUAAUACCGCAUAAGACAGUAACUCGGCAUCCAGUAGCUGUUAAAGAUUUAUCGAUGUAAGCUGGGCAUGCGUCCAAUUAGUUAGUUGGCGAGGUAAUGGCUCACCAAGACGAUGAUUGGUAGGGGAACUGAGAGGUCAAUCCCCCACACUGGCACUGAGAUACGGGCCAGACUCCUACGCGAGGCAGCAGUAGGGAAUAUUGGGCAAUGGGCGCAAGCCUGACCCAGCCAUGCCGCGUGCAGGAAGAAGGCGUUAUGCGUUGUAAACUGCUUUUAUACAGGAAUAAACGACCCUUGCGACGGGCAUUGACGGUACUGUAUGAAUAAGCACCGGCUAACUCCGUGCCAGCAGCCGCAGUAACAC